AUCUUCGACAAUGGGCGAAAGCCUGAUGGAGCAACGCCGCGGAAGUGAAUAAGGUUUUCUGAUCGUAAAUCUCUGUUGUAAGGGAGCAACAAGUACAUUAUUACCUUCCUGUACCUUGACAGUACCUUAUUUGAUAGCAACGUCUAACUCCGUACCAGCAGCAGCGGUAAUACGUAGGUGGCAAGCGUUGUCCGGAAUUAUUGGGCGUAAAGCGGGCGAAGGCGGUCCUUUAAGUCUGAAGUGAAAACCCACGGCUCAACCGUGGAGGGUCAUUGGAAGCUGGGGGAAUUGAGUGCAGAAGAGGAAAGUGGAAUUCAAAGUGUAGCGGUGAAAUGCGUAGCGAUUUGGAGGAACACCAGUGGCGAAGGCGACUUUCUGGUCUGUAACUGACGCUGAGGCGCGAAAGCGUGGGGAGCAAACAGG
rnacentral:rRNA from 1 species